GACGCACACUCCGAGUCAGACUCCUGAGACGGGGCUGAGCCAUGGGCGGCUCUGCCAGUGACAGCAAACGAGCUGUAUCUAUUUUUAACAGCUGAAAAGGAAGAGUGAAAAAAAAAGUGAACCAAGACAUACCACUGCAUGUCCAUUAUCAGGAUGUCCAGGAAAAUGAAAAAAAAACGAGAGCGAAAAGGCACCAGACUGAUAGACAAGGCAAAGCGAAAAAGACGACACUGAAGAAAAAGAAGAGCAGGAAGGAAGGAAGGAUUGACAGGGAGGAAGACAAACAAGUGAAGCCCCCGACCACAAGCCCGCUGGUGUACGACCCCGAGGUUGAGUUGCAGGAACUACUCCUUCGCCACCCCAAUGGACCACCAGAAGGAGAAGAGUCCCUGGAAGACCUCCGUUCUCAGCUUUUUGAGAGACAAAAAGUGGUAGGAACUCUUUACCACCACCCUGUACAUAAACAGGGCACUCAAAUCACACAAAGCAUGAACACAAAAAGUCCUUUUUAUAUUGUAGUGUGCCAAGCACCAAUCAAUCAAGACAAGAACCUGCCUAUCCAAGAAGAUAUGUCGCUUUGAGCUUCCAAUGGACUUGCGAAAGAUGGAAAGUAUGCCACAAAUGAGAUAAAUGUGUAUCACAUUUUUUAUUUACUAUUUGUAUUUAAGCGUUUGUUUGCCUCUAAAGAUUUGUGUUGUUUUACUGAACUUUAUGUCACUGCUCGUCUCAGCUUUCUCCCCACAGACUUACCUGAAGAAAUACUGCCGGGUGUGUCAACGCAGGCUAAAUGUCUAUCUGAAAGUCUUCACAAAGUUUGAUAACAGAAAGAAAAUGCACCUCUCUUUUAAGGUAAUUACUUUGAAUGGGGACCAGUUCAAUCUACAACAACUCAGA